CGAACGCUGGCGGCGUGCCUAAUACAUGCAAGUCGAACGAACUCUGGUAUUGAUUGGUGCUUGCAUCAUGAUUUACAUUUGAGUGAGUGGCGAACUGGUGAGUAACACGUGGGAAACCUGCCCAGAAGCGGGGGAUAACACCUGGAAACAGAUGCUAAUACCGCAUAACAACUUGGACCGCAUGGUCCGAGUUUGAAAGAUGGCUUCGGCUAUCACUUUUGGAUGGUCCCGCGGCGUAUUAGCUAGAUGGUGGGGUAACGGCUCACCAUGGCAAUGAUACGUAGCCGACCUGAGAGGGUAAUCGGCCACAUUGGGACUGAGACACGGCCCAAACUCCUACGGGAGGCAGCAGUAGGGAAUCUUCCACAAUGGACGAAAGUCUGAUGGAGCAACGCCGCGUGAGUGAAGAAGGGUUUCGGCU
rnacentral:rRNA from 2 species